UACGUAGGGUGCAAGCGUUGUCCGGAAUUAUUGGGCGUAAAGAGCUCGUAGGCGGUGUGUCACGUCGGCCGUGGAAACCUGCAGCUUAACUGUGGGCGUGCGGUCGAUACGGGCAUCACUGGAGUUCGGCAGGGGAGACUGGAAUUCCUGGUGUAGCGGUGAAAUGCGCAGAUAUCAGGAGGAACACCGGUGGCGAAGGCGGGGUCUCUGGGCCGAUACUGACGCUGAGGAGCGAAAGCGUGGGGAGCAAACAGG
rnacentral:rRNA from 1 species